rnacentral:rRNA from 1 species
UACGUAGGUGGCAAGCGUUGUCCGGAUUCAUUGGGCGUAAAGAGCUCGUAGGCGGUUCAGUUAGUCGGGUGUGAAAUCUCCGGGCUCAACCCGGAGGGGCCACCCGAUACUGCUGUGACUCGAGUCCGGUAGGGGAGACUGGAAUUCCUGGUGUAGCGGUGAAAUGCGCAGAUAUCAGGAGGAACACCGGUGGCGAAGGCGGGUCUCUGGGCCGUAACUGACGCUGAGGAGCGAAAGCAUGGGGAGCGAACAGG